UUGCUGUUCAGCAGCACAUAUACUAAAAAUUGGAAUGAUACAGAGAAGAUUAGAAUGGCCCUGCGCAAGGGUGACAUGCAAAUUUGUAAGGUAGGGAACUGUUUG
rfam:Chelonia mydas contig183493, whole genome shotgun sequence.